AUUGCCCUAGUAACGGCGAGUGAAGCGGCAACAGCUCAAAUUUGAAAUCUGGCUCUUUUAGAGUCCGAGUUGUAAUUUGCAGAGGGCGCUUUGGCUUUGGCAGCGGUCCAAGUUCCUUGGAACAGGACGUCACAGAGGGUGAGAAUCCCGUACGUGGUCGCUGGCUAUUGCCGUGUAAAGCCCCUUCGACGAGUCGAGUUGUUUGGGAAUGCAGCUCUAAAUGGGAGGUACAUUUCUUCUAAAGCUAAAUAUUGGCCAGAGACCGAUAGCGCACAAGUAGAGUGAUCGAAAGAUGAAAAGCACUUUGGAAAGAGAGUCAAACAGCACGUGAAAUUGUUGGAAGGGAAGCGCUUGCAGCCAGACUUGCUUACAGUUGCUCAUCCGGGCUUUUGCCCGGUGCACUCUUCUGUAGGCAGGCCAGCAUCAGUUUGGGCGGUAGGAUAAAGGUCUCUGUCACGUACCUCUCUUCGGGGAGGCCUUGUAGGGGAGACGACAUACUACCAGCCUGGACUGAGGUCCGCGCAUCUGCUAGGAUGCUGGCGUAAUGGCUGUAAGCGGCCCGUCUUGAAACACGGACCAAGGAGUCUAACAUCUAUGCGAGUGUUUGGGUGUCAAGCCCGAGCGCGUAAUGAAAGUGAACGGAGGUAGGAACCCGCAAGGGUGCACUAUCGACCGAUCCUGAUGUCUUCGGAAGGAUUUGAGUAAGA
rnacentral:rRNA from 1 species